UCUUCACAGAAUCUAGCUCACUACUCAGUGAUCAGUGACAGUCUGUCUCAGACUCAGUGACAGUCCUACCCUACUCAUAGAGUCACUACUGACACACUCAGUACUAGUGUUACUAAGUGUAUGCUAGAUCUAUCUAAGUGUUGCACACUGUUGGGGCACUACUCAACUACUUGAACUACUGCCACAGUGCCACUAGUUUGUGACUAGAUCUACACAGUGUCACAGUGACAGUCAAUAAGUUUGAAUAUCUACAAUCAAUAUUUGAAUUAUAAUAUUUAAUUAUUAUUAUCAAUGUGACAAGUCUCACAAGAGUACAAACAAGAGUCAAGAGUGACAAUACCAAGACAAAUGUGACAAGAUUUGAAUUUGUCAACCGUCUUUCUCGAUUGUGUGGCAUUGAAAUUGAAGUGCAGAAGUCCAUUCCUCUCUCAGGCCCGUCCAUUCUUUUAUUUUAUGUUGUCUUCCUAUCGCUUUCUUUGUCUGCCUUUUCCAAGGCACCUCUUUUUUUCUGUAACUCAGUGUAACUACUGUAAAAGUUGCUCAGUGUAGUGUAAGUGUUCAAGUUACUAGACAGUGCAAUAGAAUGAGUAGACUCAUCCAUGCUUUAGAUAGGUCUAAGAGUAAGACUCUUUUAUAACUUUUAAGUCAUAAUAUAAGUUAGAUACUUCGAUUUUCCGGUCGCGCGAGAUUUUUUUUGGUUACCGGAACCGGUAGUAUUCGUGCGGCAGUAUUUAAGCCGAUAACAAUAGAGAUUUCGUUCCAGUCUGGUUUUGUCUUCAAAAUCAGACACAAAAGGAUAGUCAGAGCCCUUUGUUUGUUCAAGGAUCGGAUAUCAGUUAAUUCUUUGGAUUUAUAUCAGUGCUUUUCUAUCGUCUUCAUUGGAGUUCCAGCGUGUUGAGCAUAGGAGUAAGUUGACCAUCCAUAAUUUUUUUAUUAUUCUGAAAAGCAUAUUUUUUAAAGUCAAUCCGUGUACCUUAAUAUCUAAUCUAACUAUUUUUGUUCAUAUUAUCGCAAUAAGUGUACCACUUUAUUAGUAAAAACGGACCCAAUGCAUCAGGUAUCUUGGCUAGAAAACGAAACCAGCCGCCAUUACUAACCGGAAAUGAUAGAUUCAAUGGUUAUCAAUGGCUGCAUAGCUUUUUUGUUAGAUCGAUUUUUUUUAAAUCCAUCAUCAAGAACAGUUUUAUUUAGUCAUCCGUGAUUUUGAAUGCAAUUUUUAAAAUUUUUAGAAUGAUUUUAAACUAGUUCAAUUAUUAUUUUUCGUUUUUAGUUAAAUUUCUUGCAAUGGCUGGUAAUAUAAUUGGGAUAAUUAUAAAAUAAUUUAUAAAUACAAAAUUUUAAGUGAUAGUUACCAUAAUAAUCACUACUAAAUAUAAGUUAUAAACAAAAUAUAACACAAAUCAAUUGAAAUAUCAUUUUAUUUCAAUGAAAAUACUUUUUCAGAUAUUAAUCUAUAGAUCUACUUAAAUCUACUAUAUUCUCUAUAUGAUUUAGGAUAAUUGUAGAAAUUUAUUUUAAAGUAAAGGCUUGGCUGGACUUGGACUUAUGAAGUUGAGCCUUCUAUUUUACAUUAAAUGUCUUAUAUCCUUUUAUAAAUAAAAUCUUUAAACUGCAUUUUAUUAAAAUUGUACAUAUGUGUAAUUUUGUUUGAAACAUUUUUUUUUUCACAAUUAAAUAAAACUAACUUUUUUUUGUUACAUUUUCCCCAGAUAAUGUGGGCGUGGCAGGCCUUGAUGUCGAUGUUGUUGACAAUAAGUUUCGAAGGCAUAUGACUGAUGUGAAGAACUUUUGCAGGAAGAUUACCCGCAGCUGGCACCUAGUUGCACCCUACUUGGAUAAAAAAAUUUCUAUCAAUGCUGCUGGCAAAAAGACACCUAUCCAAGUCCCAAGACAGCACUGAACGACCUAGUAUGGUGAAGAAGUUGCGACCUGAAGGUGAUGUUGAGGCUACUGAAAGGCCAGGUAACACAGAACAACACUGUGCUUGUUGUUGCAGAAAAGCGGUUAGUCUUUUAAGGGCUUUUUGGCAAGAUGUUGACUGGACCGUGGAUGACACUGAUCUACAAAAUGAAAGAUGAAACAUUUUAAAGAUACCAUUUAUGCAGCUAUUAUAUUUAUUCUCUUGUUUUCUAGAUCUCUCAUGUGAAGGUCUGCAUUGACAGACUAAAGCCACUAAAGGCCAUUGUGGAUUCUCCAGAGAAUCUCCUUUCAAUACUAAGUGAUUGCUUUGGCCAGACUCUGGAUACUGAAGAUCUCGUUCUGAAAACCCUGAGAAAUGUGACUGUUGAUGAAGUAUUUAUCGAGAUCACUAAAAAACUUGCUGAAGGUUUUUGUAAGGUGCUACAGAGACAGUACUUCAAUUGAUAAUUUCAAACAACAAACAAAUCCAUCAUGUGCUUACCCAUCAAAUAGUUAGAUAUAUUUUAUUUUAAGGGAACAUGUUGCAUAUCUGGGAUAUUUAUUUAAUGUGAAAUAUAUAAUUUCACAAUACAGCUGAUAAUUGUGCUAUGAACCAUUUAUAUUAAGUCUUGAUAAUUUUACCUUUUCAGCAAGCCUACAUUGGUAUGCAUUAAAAGUAUUUAUUCUAUUUCAGCAAAACAGAUAGGGUACACCUAAACAAUGUUCAUCUUCAAACAAUCAUGCAUGAUCCUCGCAAGCUUUGGAUACUGACGUACAUUUGCAAACGCACUCAGACUGAUGACAUCAAGAAAUCUAUAUUUGUUAUUUACAUUAUAUGUAAAUUUAAAUACUCUUUUUUUUUUAAUUUUUUUUUAAUUUUGUAAAUCUUGUAUAAUUAUCUCUAAAGUCUAGAUUAAAAUGUUACAGCUCUCAAUGUAUGAAAUAGAAAUUUUUGGUUUUUAUUUUUGUGUUGUUUUUCCAACAUGUUAUUCAUCCAAAGUUUAUUAUAAGUAUCAGCAAAAAGUUGUUAAUUUCAGUUAAAAGCCUAAAAAGUAAUUUACGGCUAAAAAAGUUGCAACAUUUUAAGUGUCAACAUAAUGAAAACUUCUGUCUCAGAUUAUAAUAAAAUAAACAAAUAACACAUAAUCAUGCAUGCAUUCCUGUAGAAAACUUCAUUUAAAUUUCUCAAUUAGUUAAAAAUUUAUAACCAACAUAAAUUUUGGUUGUUAUAACCAUAAGUGUCAACAUAAUAUUUUGUCGAAAAAAACUCAAACUUGUCAUUCCACAUUUAUCAAAAAUCAAAUUUUCAAAAAAAUUCUUAUCUCAGUGUUAAAAUAGAAUAAACAAAUAACACAUAAUCAUGCAUUUCUGUUCAAAAUUUCAUUUAAAUAUCUCAAUUGGUUAAAGAGUUAUGACCAACAUAAAUUUUGGUCGUUUUUUAAAUUGUCGUUCCACGUUAAUAAAGAAAAAUUUUUUUUUUCUUAAACGUCUUUCUCAGCGUUAUAAUAGAAUAAAUAAAUAACACAUA